UUUGUACUAAAGCCGAACAUCUUCACGGCUGUUAUACGCACCCGAAGAUAAGAAGUUCAACCACGAAGGUAGCUUUAUUUAAUCUGAACCCACGAAAGCUACGGCACAAACUGGGAUUAGAUACCCCACUAUGCCUAGCCCUAAACAUUGAUAGUAUACUACACCCACUAUCCGCCUGGGAACUACGAGCAUUAGCUUAAAACCCAAAGGACUUGGCGGUGCUUUAGAUCCACCUAGAGGAGCCUGUUCUAGAACCGAUAACCCCCGUUCAACCUCACCUUUCCUUGUUUUCCCCGCCUAUAUACCGCCGUCGUCAGCUUACCCUGUGAAGGUCUAAUAGUAAGCAAAACUGGUAUAACCCAAAACGUCAGGUCGAGGUGUAGCGUAUGGGAAGGGAAGAAAUGGGCUACAUUCGCUACUACAGCGAAUACGGACGAUGCACUGAAACGUUCAUCUGAAGGAGGAUUUAGCAGUAAGCAGAAAAUAGAGUGUUCCGCUGAAAUUGGCCCUGAAGCGCGCACACACCGCCCGUCACUCUCCCCAAGCCCACCAACCUAAUUAACUAAACCCUAAUAAUCGCAAAGGGGAGGCAAGUCGUAA
rnacentral:rRNA from 1 species